CUGGAACCCAGCAGAGAACCUGGACUAAGAGUGGGGGAGGAGGGGUGCCUCUUCAGGCAAUUUUCCCAGAAAAAUCUGUUGCUAAAUACCUAAUGCACUUCUGAAUUUUGUUUCCUUCCUCUGUCCUGUACUUCUUCAUUAGUCAAAAUGAAUCUGUGGUAUCUAAAUGCACUUCUGUUUUUGAGUCAAGUCUCUUGAAAAAGGGACCCUGACAAGGUUUCCUGUUGGGUAUGUUUUGGAGCUGAGGCCUUCUGAGAAACUGAGGCACCAUGAAGACCCCCUCUUCAAACCCUGAUUCUUACGAUCAAGUCAGAGAGAUUUCAGACAUGUCACUCAGCCUAACAGGAAUGAGUUUAUUGAAAGGAUAGGAAAAAGGAGGGGAGUGGGUCCUUUCAGAAAGGAAAGGGACAAUUUGCCUCUCCUGCACUCCAAUUUUAUUCCCAGAGAAGUUUCCAGAGAGUUCUGCCCAGGUCUACCUCUUGACUUUUGACUGACAGCAGAGUGACAUCAGACUUUCAAGUUCCCACUGCCAUGGCAACUCUGGGUCACUUUGGCCCAUGCUGACCAGUUCUAAUUGGAUUCUUAACCAUACAUUCUUACAGACUUUAUCGUUAGGAGAAACUACCCUUAUCUCUUAGAGUUUCACAAUCUGAUCACAAAAGUCUCUUCCUUCAGGGUGUCUCAGGUUCUUCUCAUCAACAUUAAUUUGGACAUGCAUUUCUCCUGCAGUAAACAGGUAGUUUGCUGGAAAAUGUGACAUAGCCUGUCCACCGAGGUCAGGCAGGGCUGCAGGCAAAUUGCCUCUUGGAAAAGAAAGCAUGUGGGGGUCAGCACAGUGGGCCCAUCUUACAGAAUUAUUCUCUUAGCCUCAUGUUCCCACCGUUCAGGUCUGUCUGUCCCCUAACAGGUACAGGUAAACAGUCACUGAAAACACAUUCAGCAUUAAGAGAAUUCAUUAAAAGAAUGUUUCUCCAACAACUCUGCCCUUUUUAUUUAAUAGAUUCUUCAUGGUGUAUAUGGGGGUUCUUCAGUUCUUAUUCACAAAUAGGUAUAUAUAAGCUAAAUAAUCAAUAACAUGAAUUUAAUUUUCCUCAGGGAGAACAUUUUGUGAAUUCCUGGGUUAAAAGAGAAUUGCUUAUGGCAUCAGGUAAAAACUCAGAAAUAUUCCAAAGGCUUUGCUUGUUUAUUUCUUCUUUGGCAUUUUGAUUCCCAUCAUUUUUUUUAAACUCUCC
rnacentral:lncRNA from 1 species